UACGGGGGGAGCAAGCGUUGUUCGGAUUUACUGGGCGUAAAGGGCGCGUAGGCGGUCAGCACAAGUCAGUUGUGAAAUCUCCGGGCUUAACUCGGAAAGGUCAACUGAUACUGUGCGACUAGAGUGCGGAAGGGGCAACUGGAAUUCUUGGUGUAGCGGUGAAAUGCGUAGAUAUCGGGAAGAACACCCGUGGCGAAGGCGGCUCUCUGGGACGGUACUGACGCUGAGACGCGAAAGCGUGGGGAGCGAACAGG
rnacentral:rRNA from 1 species